rnacentral:rRNA from 1 species
AUUGAACGCUGGCGGCAGGCCUAACACAUGCAAGUCGAGCGGAUGAAGGGUGCUUGCUUCUGGAUUCAGCGGCGCACGGGUGUGUAAUGCCUAGGAAUCUGCCUGGUUGUGGGUGAUAACGUCCUGAAACGGGCGCUAAUACCGCCUACGUCCUGCGGGUGCAAGUUGGGGAUCUUCGGACCUUUCGCUAUCAGAUGAGUCUAGUUCGGGUUUGCUAGUUGGUGGGGUAAAGGCCUACCAAGGCGACGAUCCGUAACUGGUCUGAGAGGAUGAUCAGUCACACUGGAAGUGAGACACGGUCCAGAGGACUACGGGAGGCAGCAGUGGGGAAUAGUGGACAAUGGGCGAAAGCCUGAUCCAGCGAGGCCGCGUGUGUGAAGAAGGUCUUCGGAUUGUAAAGAAGUUUAAGUGGGGAGGAAGGGCAGUAAGUUAAGACCUAGCUGGAGUGACGUUACCAACAGAAUAAGCACCGGCUAACUACGUG